UGGGUCAGUAACCCGACUACGAGGAUCAGGACGUAUAAAACGCAGAGCAAACCUAAAUAUAUCAAGUAAUGUGUAAUAGGUAAAUCGGAAUGGAAGCAUUAUGAAGUAGUAACCCCAUCCUAAAAGGCCCCUUGGCUGUGGCCUUGAAACAACAUAGCUGUAGAUCCUGUGGUCUGCUGUAUUGACCUGCAACGGCCGAGAUGGGGGUGGGUUAAAGACACUUGGGACACCUUCUUGCUCAUUUAACCGGUCCUGUACAGCUGCCUCUAUAUUCCAGUUGUGCUGCUCCAGCGUGUGACGACAUUGGUCCAUGGACUCUAUGCCAGUCAAGUCCUGGAAUUGCAGCAGCUUCUCGGUCUGCUCCGCCGUCAGCUCCCGCUCCUCAGGCGCCGCCAUUUUCCUCCGCCUCUG
rnacentral:lncRNA from 1 species